rnacentral:rRNA from 1 species
UGAGGAAUCUUGCACAAUGGGCGAAAGCCUGAUGCAGCGACGCCGCGUGGAGGAUGACGGUCUUCGGAUUGUAAACUUCUGUUAAGUGGGAAAAAAGAAUUGCUGUUAAUAGCAGCGAGAGAUGAUGGUACCACUAGAGAAAGCACUGGCUAAUCUCGUGCCAGCAGCCGCGGUAAUACGAGAGGUGCAAACGUUAUUCGGAAUCAUUGGGCGUAAAGGGUGUGUAGACGGUAAAAAAAGUCGGUUAUUAAAUUUCUUGGCUUAACCAAGAGCAUGUGACCGAAACUGAUUUUCUUGAGGGUGGAAGAGAGAAGUGGAAUUCUCGGAGUAGCGGUAAAAUGCGUAGAUCUCGAGAGGAACACCGAUGGCGAAGGCAGCUUCUUGGUCCAUUUCUGACGUUGAAACACGAAAGCGUGGGGAGCAAACAGG